AUCUACUUGAAAGUUCAUAUGCGUGAUUUGAAUGCAACCAAUCAAAACGAUUCAAGUCCUACUAAUCGACGACAACCCACGAUCGAAGUUUGACUACGUCAGUCUUAAUUCUUAAGGAACGACUAGGCAGGCCGGGCAAGAGAACCACUGAAGAGUCUGAAUUCCAUCGCCACCACCACCUCCUCGACGUCGGACUCCGAGAAAUCCAUCGCCUUUAAUGCUAUUCUCGGAAGUUUGGAAUAUCCGUUUUCUUCCGCCUAUCAUUUUCCUUCCCGUAGAUUUCCUCCUCCUUAAUCUACCUCCUUGAUUAUUCCUCAUAAAUUAUGCGAAGCUCUUGCCCCCGACGAUAUUUUGACCCGAUUUGUUCUCUUUCAAGUUUUGACAUCGCCGAUGAAGUUCUCUUCGGUGCUUCUUCUGAUUUGUUUUUUAGCAUCGAUUUUCAUUUUUUCUGGGUUCGCUGCCGAUUCUUUGGACGCGUACAAAAGCAUAACUGGGAGAAAAAAUUUGAAUGGGUUAAAUCCACCCCGGACCCCGGGCAAACGGUCUCUGUUGUCUGAUUCCAAGUCAGUUUCUCUGCUAACUUUUUAUUGUCUCUAUUGUCUGAUUCCAAGAAUUCUUGGACUCUCUCGGCCCGGCGGUGAAAGCGUCCCCACGCAUCCAAUUUUGUAAAGAAAGAGGCCUCAUCUCAUCCUCCUCUCACAGCCACAGCCAUAGCCAUAGCCAGCAGAUUUGUGAAAAUCGAGAAAAGCACAAACCACCAAACAGUUUCUGUCAUUCAGUUGCUUUACGAAGUAGUCCUAAUAAAUGGAUGGAUGAAUUUGUUGGAUGGAGAUUUUUGUUGCUCUAACUUGAGGAUGAUGCAGAAGAAAUUAGCCAAAAAGUGAGCAGCUCACAUCCAAAGAGCAAGAAAGGAAUCUAGAACAGAGAGGUGGGAAUAAACUACCAAACAAUUGUGGCCUUAAAAAACCCUCAAACCAAGUUAAAUUAUAAUGUUUGAUUGUUGGACUGCAUAAUUGGUUUUAAGUGUGCAAAUCUAAGCUCUCUUACAAGGGUAUAGGAGUUAGUAUCUUUUAUUUGGAAUCACAAGUAGAAAGCAUAUUUACAUGCGUAUCUUUUAUUUGGAAUCACAAGUUGAUAUCCUAUUUACAGGCUCAAAAAUAAUUUUGGACGCUUUUGGCA